rnacentral:rRNA from 1 species
CGCCUACGGGGGGCAGCAGUGAGGAAUAUUGGUCAAUGGCCGCAGGGCUGAACCAGCCAAGUCGCGUGAGGGAUGACGGUCCUAUGGAUUGUAAACCUCUUUUGUCGGAGAACAAAACCCGGGACGUGUCCCGGACUGCGUGUAUCCGAAGAAAAAGCAUCGGCUAACUCCGUGCCAGCAGCCGCGGUAAUACGGAGGAUGCGAGCGUUAUCCGGAUUUAUUGGGUUUAAAGGGUGCGUAGGCGGUCCGUUAAGUCAGCGGUAAAAUUGCGGGGCUCAACCCCGUCGAGCCGUUGAAACUGGCAG